rnacentral:rRNA from 1 species
GACGAACGCUGGCGGCGUGCCUAAUACAUGCAAGUCGAACGCAGUGGGGACAGGUGAGUAGCACGUGGGUAACCUCCCAUCAGAGGGGAGAAAACGUGGAAACAGGUGCUAAACCGAUACUGAUGGAUGGACCCGCGGGGCAUUAGCUAGUUGGGGGGGUAACGGCUCACCAAGGCCACGAGGCAUAGCCGACCUGAGAGGGGGAUCGGCCACACUGGGACUGAGACACGGCCCAGACUCCUACGGGAGGCAGCAGUAGGGAAUCUUGGGCAAUGGACGAAAGCCUGACCGAGCAACGCCGCGUGAGUGAAGAAGGUCUUCGGAUCGUAAAACUCUGUUGUUAGAGAAGCGGUAUCUAACCAGAAAGCAACGGCUAACUACGUGCCAGCAGCCGCGGUAAUAC